rnacentral:rRNA from 1 species
AUGGUGGCGCUCUUCGGCGGGCACACUCUGGGCGUGGCGCGCUGCCCGUUGUUCACGCCCCCCCUCAAGUUCAGGGCGGCCACGCUGGACGCCGGAUUCGCGUCGUCUCUGGCGGCCACAUGCAGCAAGGGCGGGGACUCGGCGAUGGCGACGUUCGACCGGACGAGCACGGCGUUCGACGACGUCUACUUCAAGGAGUUUCAGCAGCGGAGGGGCUUGCUGAGCUCGGACCAGACGCUGUUCGAGUCGCCAGAGACGCAACGGCUUGUGAACAUGUUCGUCAUGAACCAGGGCUACUUCUUCUACGUGUUCCAGCAGGGGAUGGGCAAGAUGGGUGCGGGCAAGAGCUUGAGCUCCGUGCAAGGAUAG